AGAGUUUGAUCCUGGCUCAGGACGAACGCUGGCGGCGUGCCUAAUACAUGCAAGUCGAACGCUUCUUUUUCCACCGGAGCUUGCUCCACCGGAAAAAGAGGAGUGGCGAACGGGUGAGUAACACGUGGGUAACCUGCCCAUCAGAAGGGGAUAACACUUGGAAACAGGUGCUAAUACCGUAUAACAAUCGAAACCGCAUGGUUUUGAUUUGAAAGGCGCUUUCGGGUGUCGCUGAUGGAUGGACCCGCGGUGCAUUAGCUAGUUGGUGAGGUAACGGCUCACCAAGGCCACGAUGCAUAGCCGACCUGAGAGGGUGAUCGGCCACAUUGGGACUGAGACACGGCCCAAACUCCUACGGGAGGCAGCAGUAGGGAAUCUUCGGCAAUGGACGAAAGUCUGACCGAGCAACGCCGCGUGAGUGAAGAAGGUUUUCGGAUCGUAAAACUCUGUUGUUAGAGAAGAACAAGGAUGAGAGUAACUGUUCAUCCCUUGACGGUAUCUAACCAGAAAGCCACGGCUAACUACGUGCCAGCAGCCGCGGUAAUACGUAGGUGGCAAGCGUUGUCCGGAUUUAUUGGGCGUAAAGCGAGCGCAGGCGGUUUCUUAAGUCUGAUGUGAAAGCCCCCGGCUCAACCGGGGAGGGUCAUUGGAAACUGGGAGACUUGAGUGCAGAAGAGGAGAGUGGAAUUCCAUGUGUAGCGGUGAAAUGCGUAGAUAUAUGGAGGAACACCAGUGGCGAAGGCGGCUCUCUGGUCUGUAACUGACGCUGAGGCUCGAAAGCGUGGGGAGCAAACAGGAUUAGAUACCCUGGUAGUCCACGCCGUAAACGAUGAGUGCUAAGUGUUGGAGGGUUUCCGCCCUUCAGUGCUGCAGCUAACGCAUUAAGCACUCCGCCUGGGGAGUACGACCGCAAGGUUGAAACUCAAAGGAAUUGACGGGGGCCCGCACAAGCGGUGGAGCAUGUGGUUUAAUUCGAAGCAACGCGAAGAACCUUACCAGGUCUUGACAUCCUUUGACCACUCUAGAGAUAGAGCUUCCCCUUCGGGGGCAAAGUGACAGGUGGUGC
rnacentral:rRNA from 1 species